rnacentral:rRNA from 1 species
UACGUAGGCAGCGAGCGUUGUUCGGAGUUACUGGGCGUAAAGGGUGUGUAGGCGGUUGUUUAAGUUUGGUGUGAAAUCUCCCGGCUCAACUGGGAGGGUGCGCCGAAUACUGAAUGACUUGGAGUGCGGGAGAGGAGAGUGGAAUUCCUGGUGUAGCGGUGAAAUGCGUAGAUAUCAGGAGGAACACCGGUGGUGUAGACGGCUCUCUGGACCGUAACUGACGCUGAGACACGAAAGCGUGGGGAGCAAACAGG